GAUAAACGCUGGCGGCGUGCCUAACACAUGCAAGUCGAACGCCCUUUUGCGCAAGUGAGAGGGAGUGGCGGACGGGUGAGUAGCACGUGGGUACCUACCCCAAGAUGAGGAAUACCACCGAGAAAUCGGUGACAAGACCGCAUACCUUCGGCCACGAAGAAAGCUUCUCCUCACGAGAGGCGUCUUGGGAUGGGCCUGCGCCUGAUUAGCUGGUUGGUGAGGUAACAGCNCACCAAGGCGACGAUCAGUAGCUGGUCUGAGAGGAUGAUCAGCCACACUGGGAUUGAGAACGGCCCAGACUCCUACGGGGGGCAGCAGUGAGGAAUUUUCGUCAAUGGGGGCAACCCUGAACGAGCAACGCCGCGUGCAGGAUGACAC
rnacentral:rRNA from 1 species